AGAGUGGGAACAUGUUGAAGUCCCUUUGGGAGGGACGCCAAUUUGUUCAAAUUUAUCAAUUGAAGCCCCUGGAGGCUUCUAAGGUAUUGCCACGGCAUAUCACUAUGAUCCUCUGAAUCAGAUAAAUCAAGCUCCUCACAAGCCAAGAAGACAAGAUGCUCGAGGGAGGUUAGAUGCCGCAAAGCAGAAGACACCUUUGUUAUUCGUGGACAAUAACGAAUAUAAAGUUGUCGGAGUGAUAUGAGAUUUGUUAGCAACUCCUCUGGCAGAACUUCUAGAUCCUCAAUAUUCUCGAUAUGCAGAAGUGUCAAUUGAGAAGGGGAAAUCGAAGCACAAGAAGAGGUAGAUUGUGACACCGAAAUCUUCAUCUUCAGUAUGUCCUCCAAUGACUUCUUGCUGGCAUUUUUUAAUACCAAUUUUUGGACAGAUGGAAUGAGAGGCAUUGAAGUGAGGUUAGGGCAAGA
rnacentral:misc_RNA from 1 species